UGGCUCAGAUUGAACGCUGGCGGCAGGCCUAACACAUGCAAGUCGAGCGGUAGAGAGAAGCUUGCUUCUCUUGAGAGCGGCGGACGGGUGAGUAAUACCUAGGAAUCUGCCUGAUAGUGGGGGAUAACGUUCGGAAACGGACGCUAAUACCGCAUACGUCCUACGGGAGAAAGCAGGGGACCUUCGGGCCUUGCGCUAUCAGAUGAGCCUAGGUCGGAUUAGCUAGUUGGUGAGGUAAUGGCUCACCAAGGCUACGAUCCGUAACUGGUCUGAGAGGAUGAUCAGUCACACUGGAACUGAGACACGGUCCAGACUCCUACGGGAGGCAGCAGUGGGGAAUAUUGGACAAUGGGCGAAAGCCUGAUCCAGCCAUGCCGCGUGUGUGAAGAAGGUCUUCGGAUUGUAAAGCAC
rnacentral:rRNA from 1 species